CGUUCCCAUACCGAACACGGAAGUUAAGCUUCUCAGCGCCGAUGGUAGUUAGGGGCUGUCCCCUUGUGAGAGUAGGACGCUGCCGGGC
rnacentral:rRNA from 1 species